rnacentral:rRNA from 1 species
GUAGGUGGCAAGCGUUGUCCGGAAUUAUUGGGCGUAAAGCGCGCGCAGGUGGUUCUUUAAGUCUGAUGUGAAAGCCCCCGGCUCAACCGGGGAGGGUCAUUGGAAACUGGGGAACUUGAGUGCAGGAGAGGAAAGUGGAAUUCCACGUGUAGCGGUGAAAUGCGUAGAUAUGUGGAGGAACACCAGUGGCGAAGGCGGCUUUCUGGCCUGUAACUGACACUGAGGCGCGAAAGCGUGGGGAGCAAACAGGGAUUAGAUACCCUGGUAGUCCACGCCGUAAACGAUGAGUGCUAAGUGUUGGGGGGGUUUCCCGCCCCUCAGUGCUGCAGCUAACGCAUUAGGCACUCCGCCUGGGGAGUACGGUCGCAAGACUG